UUACACUCUAGUUUUGCUACUUUUACUUAAGUAAAAUUCUUAAUGCUUCUUCCACCUCUGUGUAGUUCAGCAUUGGAGUUUUAGGACGCUGCAUCCUCUGUUUGAUACAAGUGACUCUCUGUGAUGACCCCUGGUGAGAUCUUGGGUUUCUCCAUUAUUAACCUGUGUUUCUCUUUGCCCUGCAGCUGAGUGAGUGGUGUAAUCUGGAACACCUAGGUCCGGUGUAUCUAGAUUAUUUAAAGCAUGGGCACAGCUGCAGCUCUUUCAGUCCCCGGAUGGUUUUCAAUACGUUAAUUUAUGCUUCCUCACAUCCUCUCUCCUUGCUUGACUUGGAAAUUGUUCCCCCUCUGCCAUCAUAGAGGAUCUUCCAAUCCCUUAAAUCCAACCAGAGGAGACGAGGAGAGAGGAGAAAGGAGGCUUCUGGAGGAGCUGAGAGUGAGGAAACACUGGUGUAUCCUUUGCAGAAGUCUUUUUGGCACCCGCAACGUAAAAGAGACGUGACCCACGGCUGGAAUAAUCUCAAACCAUGGCACUCUACAAAUUACUUUUCAUGCUGUUGUCUCGACUCCUCUCUCCUCGCGUCUUUUCCUCACCUCCUCCACUCGCAGAAGGCAAGGACAGGAAUCGAGGAGACAUGUUAGCAAAAUGAAAAGUGACCCCUCUCUCUGGUUGUCUCUCUGCUGCUCCCCUCUAGACUCCUGUUUUGGUUUGGUUUUAGGUCAUGUUGCUGUACAUACAGUACACUACUGACACCACUGACUUCCACACCCCAUACUUUAAAUAUUCAGUUUUCGCUUUAAUUUGUCAUAUAAAGCAUCUUUUGUUAACAUUUCAUCAUGGUGUGUCUCAACAAAUAGGGGUUUGCCCAUUAAGGUUUAUUUGGUAAAAUUUUAUUUUUAGUUUUGAGUUGAUUGUGCAGCUGAUUUGGUGAUUUGAUCCAGCUGCAUGCUGGUUUUUGGCUACGUGCUUUGGUCUUUGUGCUCUGGUUUCUGUUUCUUUUUUUUUACAAAAGUAAAAGUUUAUGUUUCUAGAA